rnacentral:rRNA from 1 species
GAUGAACGCUGGCGGCGUGCCUAAUACAUGCAAGUCGAGCGAACCACUUCGGUGGUGAGCGGCGAACGGGUGAGUAACACGUAGGUGAUCUGCCCAUCAGACGGGGACAACGAUUGGAAACGAUCGCUAAUACCGGAUGGGACGAAAGUUUAAAGGUGCUUCUGGCACCGCUGAUGGAUGAGCCUGCGGCGCAUUAGCUAGUUGGUAGGGUAAAGGCCUACCAAGGCGACGAUGCGUAGCCGACCUGAGAGGGUGAACGGCCACACGGGGACUUAGACACGGCCCAGACACCUACGGGAGGCAGCAGUAGGGAAUCUUCGGCAAUGGGCGAAAGCCUGACCGAGCAACGCCGCGUGAAUGAUGAAGGCCUUCGGGUUUUAAAAUUCUGUUAUAAGGGAAGAGCGACUUUAGUAGGAAAUGGCUAGAGUGUGACGGUACCUUAUGAGAAAGCCACGGCUAACUACGUGCCAGCCGCCGCAGUAA